AUACUUAACUGGCUAAGGGGGUACCAUGAUCAUGCAGGCGGUUCCCCCAGGGCGAGGCUGCUCCGUUGCACUGCGGACUGGUUGAGCCUUGCGAUUAUUUUUAUUUUUAUCAAUAAAAAAAAUCUUAAUAAAAAAUC
rnacentral:snRNA from 9 species